rnacentral:rRNA from 1 species
CCUACGGGGGGCAGCAGUGAGGAAUUUUGCGCAAUGGGGAAACCCUGACGCAGCAACGCCGCGUGAGUGAUGAAGGCUUUCGGGUCGUAAAGCUCUGUCAAGUGGGAAGAAAUUGUUCCGUGUUAAUACCACGGUGCAUUGACGGUACCACUGAAGGGAGCACCGGCUAACUCCGUGCCAGCAGCCGCGGU